GGGGAAGGAGAGGAAGAGGAUCAGGACGAGGAGAAGAAGAAAGAGAAUUAGAUGCAAGCGAAGGAAGAGAAGAAACUAGAGGAAGAGGGAGAGGGAGAAGAAUAACAGAAGAAAGAAGAGGAGAAGAAAGGCUAAGGAGAGCAGUUAACCAGCCCGGGAACAUUGCUGGCGUGUUCAUCCCUGAGCCGGUUCUAGCGCCCGUUCCGAAGCCGGUUCGACUGGGAUCCGAACCGCUCGUUUUCUUUGACAUCGAGACCACGGGGUUCGGGGCGCAGUCGCAUAUCAUCCAGAUCGCCGGCGUGAGGGGCGACAGCUCUUACAGCGCCUACGUCAUACCCGG